rnacentral:lncRNA from 1 species
UGAAACCACAGUGACCCAGAUGUUGAGAGGCCUCAGUGCAGAAAUAGAAUGUACACAAAAGUCGCAUCAUACCCUGCCCACUGAUAGACGUCGGGGUCCAUGUUGAGUCCUGAGUAGGAGGCAGUUACAGGUAUCAAAGUAGGAGUGUGACUCAACUAGAAGAGGAGUGAAUGUCAACAAAAGAUGACGAGACUGAGGAGCAUCAAGUUUUCUUUAUUUCAUCAACGUCACACAGCUAGCACAUGGCCCAGCCAGGACCCCAGCCUCUGCCAUAACUAUGCUGCUUCUCUGGUUAGGCUUCCAAAUACAUGAUUAGCAUGUUAGUGUCAUGGCACGAUU